rnacentral:rRNA from 1 species
GUCCACGCCGUAAACGAUGAAUGCUAGCCGUUGGGCAGCUUGCUGUUCAGUGGCGCAGCUAACGCAUUAAGCAUUCCGCCUGGGGAGUACGGCCGCAAGGUUGAAACUCAAAGGAAUUGACGGGGGCCCGCACAAGCGGUGGAGCAUGUGGUUUAAUUCGACGCAACGCGCAGAACCUUACCAGGGUUUGACAUCCUGCGACCGCCCUCUAAUAGGGGUUUUCCCGCAAGGGACGCAGAGACAGGUGCUGCAUGGCUGUCGU